UACGUAGGGCGCAAGCGUUAUCCGGAAUUAUUGGGCGUAAAGAGCUCGUAGGCGGUUUGUCGCGUCUGCCGUGAAAGUCCGGGGCUCAACUCCGGAUCUGCGGUGGGUACGGGCAGACUAGAGUGAUGUAGGGGGAGACUGGAAUUCCUGGUGUAGCGGUGAAAUGCGCAGAUAUCAGGAGGAACACCGGUGGCGAAGGCGGGUCUCUGGGCAGUAACUGACGCUGAGGAGCGAAAGCGUGGGGAGCGAACCGG
rnacentral:rRNA from 1 species